rnacentral:lncRNA from 1 species
CCCCUUCACAUUGAUUGCUUUCUGAUUCAUCUAGCUGUUUUGAUAUAUCUGUUUCUGUUAUAUACUUCUUAACCUCAUUAUCACAGGGAUUAGUUGAUUCAUAAAGUUUUUUAUAGUAUUUUACUUCUAACUCUAAAAAAUUUUAUUUUGAUUUUCAGUAGCCAAACCAUUUUCAUCAUAUAAUUCAGUAACAACUUUUUUUGUUUGACGACUCUUUUCUAGCCCCAAGAAAUAUGCACUAUUUUUUUCACCUUCUUCAAACCAUUUUACCCUUGACCUUAUUUUUUGCCCUUUAAUCUUAUCUUUAUACAGAGUAUCUAACUUAUUUUCAACAUUCUCUAUUUCUUUUUGUAAUGUUUUAUUUAUAUCAGUACUAUCAUUUAUUUCAUUAUUUAGGUUAUUCAACUUUGUUUCUAGAAAAUUUAUCUCAUCUUUUCUUACUUUAGCUUUUCUUUUACAAUAGUCUAAACUUGCAUCCCUUACUUCUAUUUUCAAAUUAUCCCAAAGAAUCCCCAAAUCAUCACAGUUGGUUAAUUCU